GUUAGUUAGUAAUUUUACCUUCUAGAUUGUAGAGACUCUUCUACUACCUUAGAAAGGCCAUAAAUUGAUAAAAUUAGAUUAGAAGAAGUAAAUAAUUAGUAUAGUUGAUACUAGGAUUAAAUUGAGAGUAGGGUUGGGCUAAAAAAUACUUAGGAUAGGUUAAAUUGAUACCCGAGGAUUGGCCAUUUGUGAGACAGGGUCGAAAUUAGACCUUUGGCCACAAAAAUAAUAGCCUAGGGCAAAAUAGGGAUUCAUUUGAAGAUCCGAGGAUAUGGUUUGAGAGCUAGCUUGAAGUUCUUUCUAAAUACGUAAGGAUUGUUUUUGGAAGACUUUUGAAGACUUAGAAAUUGUUGUUCAAAGUUAGGAUUUGUAUUGGUGAUUUGAGUUUUAUAUAAUAUAAUUAGGGCUAACAAUUUUGGCUAGUUUGUGCAAUUGGUAUAACAUAUAUAGUUGAAAAUUUAAUAAUAUUUGGAUUAUUGGGUGUAUUAAGUGUAUACAAAAUUUUGUGAUAAUCUCAUGGCAUGGUUUAGAGAUAUUUGGUUUUCAACACAAGAGGGUUUCAGAAGUGGGCAGUUUGAGGUUGAGUAGGGUUUCUAUGAUAUCUGGAGAUCUAUUAGUUGGAUCAAAGUAAAAUUUGGCAUGGUAUUGAAGGACUUGAAGAUCAAGCUGCACACCAAUUUUAAGUCAAGUUUAAUUGUUGGAAAGAGAGAAAUCACUGCUGGGAUUUUUGCUUCACUUUUCAAGUUGGCGACAAAGUAACAUUAGUGCAAUUUUUGGAGGUUUUUUCACAAUUUGUAAGUUGUAUUGGGCUAAAAAUUCUUGAGCAUAUAUAAGACUUAUGUUGAAAAUUGAAUACAAAAUUUUACAUCAAUUGGAUGGUCGGAUUGGAUGUUACAACUUGUUAAAGCUCACUAAUUAGGAUUGGG
rnacentral:lncRNA from 1 species